GACGAACGCUGGCGGCGUGCUUAACACAUGCAAGUCGAACGAUGGAGCUAGAGCUUGCUCUGGUGAAUUAGUGGCGAACGGGUGAGUAACACGUGAGUAACCUGCCCCGAACUCUGGGAUAACUGCUGGAAACGGUAGCUAGUACUGGAUACGACCUACGAAGGCAUCUUCUGUAGGUGGAAAGAAUUUCGGUUCGGGAUGGACUCGCGGCCUUUCAGCUUGUUGGGGAGGUAAUGGCUCACCAAGGCGACGACGGGUAGCCGGCCUGAGAGGGUGACCGGCCACACUGGGACUGAGACACGGCCCAGACUCCUACGGGAGGCAGCAGUGGGGAAUAUUGCACAAUGGGCGCAAGCCUGAUGCAGCAACGCCGCGUGAGGGAUGACGGCCUUCGGGUUGUAAACCUCUUUUAGUAGGGAAGAAGCGAAAGUGACGGUACCUGCAGAAAAAGCACCGGCUAACUACGUGCCAGCAGCCGCGGUAA
rnacentral:rRNA from 1 species